rnacentral:rRNA from 1 species
GACGAACGCUGGCGGCGUGCUUAACACAUGCAAGUCGAACGGUAAGGCCCCAGCUUGCUGGGGUACACGAGUGGCGAACGGGUGAGUAACACGUGGGUGACCUGCCCCGCACUUCGGGAUAAGCCUGGGAAACUGGGUCUAAUACCGGAUAGGACCGCACCGUGAGGGUGUGGUGGAAAGUUUUUCGGUGUGGGAUGGGCCCGCGGCCUAUCAGCUUGUUGGUGGGGUAAUGGCCUACCAAGGCGGCGACGGGUAGCCGGCCUGAGAGGGAGGACGGCCACAUUGGGACUGAGACACGGCCCAGACUCCUACGGGAGGCAGCAGUGGGGAAUAUUGCACAAUGGGCGGAAGCCUGAUGCAGCGACGCCGCGUGGGGGAUGACGGCCUUCGGGUUGUAAACUCCUUUCACCAUCGACGAAGGUUUUCUGACGGUAGAUGGAGAAGAAGCACCGGCUAACUACGUG